GUCGCCUCCUAAAAGGUAACGGAGGCGCUCAAAGGUUCCCUCAGAAUGGUUGGAAAUCAUUCAUAGAGUGUAAAGGCAUAAGGGAGCUUGACUGCGAGACCUACAAGUCGAGCAGGGUCGAAAGACGGACUUAGUGAUCCGGUGGUUCCGCAUGGAAGGGCCAUCGCUCAACGGAUAAAAGCUACCCCGGGGAUAACAGGCUUAUCUCCCCCAAGAGUUCACAUCGACGGGGAGGUUUGGCACCUCGAUGUCGGCUCAUCGCAUCCUGGGGCUGUAGUCGGUCCCAAGGGUUGGGCUGUUCGCCCAUUAAAGCGGUACGCGAGCUGGGUUCAGAACGUCGUGAGACAGUUCGGUCCCUAUCCGUCGUGGGCGUAGGAAAUUUGAGAGGAGCUGUCCUUAGUACGAGAGGACCGGGAUGGACAUACCUCUGGUGUACCAGUUGUCGUGCCAACGGCAUAGCUGGGUAGCUAUGUGUGGACGGGAUAAGUGCUG
rnacentral:rRNA from 1 species